rnacentral:rRNA from 1 species
UAGCUGCGAGCGAACAGGGAAGAGCCCAGCGCCGAAUUCCGCGUCCGAAAGGGCGUCUGGAACAUGUGGCGUUUAGGAGGAAUCUCUCCGAGGGCAGACGGUGUCGCAAGUCCCCCUGAACGGGGCUGUGAUCCAGAGCGGGUGCGAGGCCCAUAGCUGGUACCGUCUCCUUCGGGUGUCGCCUCCUUGGAGUCGGGUUGCUUGGGAGUGCAGCCCUAAUUGGGUGGUAAACUCCACCUAAGGCUAAAUACGUCCGUGAGACCGAUAGCAAACAAGUACCGUGAGGGAAAGUUGCAAAGAACUUUGAAGAGAGAGUUCAAGAGUACGUGAAACCGCUCAGAGGCAAACGGGUGGGCCCACGAAAGCCGAAGGCGGGGGGAUUCAGUCGAGAGGACGGCGGGGCAAGACUGGCUGGUCGGACGGACCGUGCCAGGCCGGGUCAGUUCCCGAGAUCCGUCGCCUUUCGACGCACUUCCCUCUGCUUAGUAGGACGCCGCAACCGGUCGGUGCUGCAGCCAUAAGGGAGAGUAUUCGGAAGGUAGCCAGCGAGUUCUUCUUCGGAGGCGCAAGCUGGUCCUAAGCCCGCUCCCCUGGUGCUUGUGGUCCGACCGUGGUCAGAGUCCCUGAACGGGAUGUUGCCGAGCCCUCCGUAUGGAGUGGGAGAGACUGCAGGCCACCUUCUGUGACGUUGCUUCACGCAUGCAGUGUGCAAGCGUUCGGAGGUGACUGCUGGCCUGUCUUUUCCCGCGCCGGGCACAGGCAGUUGGCGGCGAGUAGGUCGGUCACCCACCCGACCCGUCUUGAAACACGGACCAAGGAGUCUAACAUGUGCGCGAGUCAUUGGGUCUCGAAGAAGCCCAAAGGCGCAAUGAAAGUGAACACCAGCACUGAAGCUGGUGGAGUUGGGAAACUGCGYCGACGACGGCGCGGUUGCACCAACGGCCCGUCCCGUCCGCAUCGUCGGUGGGGCGGAGCGAGAGCGUACACGUUGGGACCCGAAAGAUGGUGAACUAUGCCUGGGCAGGACGAAGCCAGAGGAAACUCUGGUGGAGGUCCG